UUUUCUUUAAAUAAUAGUAAAAGUAUGCAUUCAAGUAGUAGCUUUUUCUAAAUAGUCAAGUAAAGUCGAGUAGGGCUGGCAACAAGGACUAGGAAGAUACGGGCUAGUUUGUUUUUUAGGGGAAGGCUUUAUGCAAGAUAUGCACGUGAGUAGGUCAGUAUAUGCGUAUUUGCCAAUAGAGGAAAACACGUAGUAAGUAGGCUUGCUUUUUCGUAGGGAUAGGUCGCUUGACAAGGGAUGCCUGGGAUAGCACAUAGGAAAAGUAUAGAAGGAAAGGCGGCGGGAAAGUAGCCAUGGUCAAGGUAAACAAGUACUAGGUCUUUUCUUUCCGAAGCAAGUCAAGGACAACUAGGUCAGUCUAGGGGGGGCAAUCCUCUAGAUCGAUACUUCUGUUCCACAGACUAAACCAAUUAAUAAACAAUUUACAGAGUAUUCUUGCAUUCCUAUCUGGUCUGCAUCUCUCCUAUCGAAACUAUAAUAUAA
rnacentral:lncRNA from 1 species